UCCUACGGGAGGCAGCAGUGGGGAAUAUUGCACAAUGGCCGAAAGUCUGAUGCAGCAACGCCGCGUGGAGGAUGACACAUUUCGGUGCGUAAACUCCUUUUAUAUGAGAAGAUAAUGACGGUAUUAUAUGAAUAAGCACCGGCUAACUCCGUGCCAGCAGCCGCGGUAAUACGGGGGGUGCAAGCGUUACUCGGAAUCACUGGGCGUAAAGAGCAUGUAGGCGGAUUAAUAAGUUUGAAGUGAAAUCCUAUAGCUUAACUAUAGAACUGCUUUGAAAACUGUUAAUCUAGAAUGUGGGAGAGGUAGAUGGAAUUUCUGGUGUAGGGGUAAAAUCCGUAGAGAUCAGAAGGAAUACCGAUUGCGAAGGCGAUCUACUGGAACAUUAUUGACGCUGAGAUGGGAAAGCGUGGGGAGCAAACAGGAUUAGAUACCCUGGUAGUCCACGCCCUAAACGAUGUACACUAGUUGUUGUGAGACUUGAUCUUG
rnacentral:rRNA from 1 species